AGUUAAUGAACUUGAAUAAGUAUAUAUUUUGAAAAUAUAAUAUAGAGAAAUCUCUAUUAACUU
rnacentral:tRNA from 1 species